CAGUCGAGCGGACAGAUGGGAGCUUGCUCCCUGAUGUUAGCGGCGGACGGGUGAGUAACACGUGGGUAACCUGCCUGUAAGACUGGGAUAACUCCGGGAAACCGGGGCUAAUACCGGAUGCUUGUUUGAACCGCAUGGUUCAAACAUAAAAGGUGGCUUCGGCUACCACUUACAGAUGGACCCGCGGCGCAUUAGCUAGUUGGUGAGGUAACGGCUCACCAAGGCAACGAUGCGUAGCCGACCUGAGAGGGUGAUCGGCCACACUGGGACUGAGACACGGCCCAGACUCCUACGGGAGGCAGCAGUAGGGAAUCUUCCGCAAUGGACGAAAGUCUGACGGAGCAACGCCGCGUGAGUGAUGAAGGUUUUCGGAUCGUAAAGCUCUGUUGUUAGGGAAGAACAAGUACCGUUCGAAUAGGGCGGUACCUUGACGGUACCUAACCAGAAAGCCACGGCUAACUACGUGCCAGCAGCCGCGGUAAUACGUAGGUGGCAAGCGUUGUCCGGAAUUAUUGGGCGUAAAGGGCUCGCAGGCGGUUCCUUAAGUCUGAUGUGAAAGCCCCCGGCUCAACCGGGGAGGGUCAUUGGAAACUGGGGAACUUGAGUGCAGAAGAGGAGAGUGGAAUUCCACGUGUAGCGGUGAAAUGC
rnacentral:rRNA from 1 species